AGCUGUGUGGCUCACUCUCUUUGGAUCUUUAAUCAAAUGACAUUUCCUCCUAUUUAAAACCACAACUGUUCCCCUCUUCCUUUUCUGCUUUAUUAUUUUUGUCCAUAACACAGCUUGCCAUCCGAUGUUCUAUAUAUUUUGCUUUCAUCCUAUUUAAUAUUUAUUUCCCACAGAAUUAGAUAGAAUUAUGAGUCACGAGGUAGAGACUUGUCUGUUAGAGCUCACUGUUGUAUUCCUAGAAUCCAAACAGAUAAUAAGUACUUGUUUAAUGAAUGAAUAAAUGAACAAGUAAAUCCUCUAUAUUUAAUCUUCAGAUUAAAGAAGCAAAUGCAACAGCCAUAACUGUUAACAUACUUGCUCUAAUUCUAUAUCAAAGGUUUCUUUGAAGUUUCUUUUAGUCAAAAAAGGAAAGCAAGAAAAGUUACCUAGUUUUAGUUUUCAGAAAGGAGUGCAAAAUUUUAAAGAAAAUUCUAAUGUUGGAGUUAAAUAGGAAUACAGAAUAACUUAAUGAACACUUUCUUUGUAAAAUGCAGAUGAUGCUUCAGCUAUGGAUUUUUUUAAAGCAAACUUUGAUGAAAGUUAAAAGAAUAACAUUAAAGCUCAAUACAGUGAAAGCAUUUCUGUGAUAUAUUCAGCUGAUAUGGCUCAGGUCUGUAGCUUAAUUUGAAAGACUGAAUUUUGAGUAGUGAAGGAGUUGAACUGAUGGCAUAUCUCUUAAGCUUUAUUUUCUGACAUAAUUGCUCCUCUUGUCAAAGUUUCUGAUAGGAGCUUAGGAAUUGCAUGUCAAAAAGUACUCCCAGCUGGAGUUUACUGAUUCACACUAGAAAACAAGUGAUGUUUCCCCAUAUUCUUUACUUUCUCUCUGACCUCUAAUUUCCAAAUAAUUUUUUUAAAAAACACUAACAACUACAACAACAGCAAUAAAAAAAACUGCAGAAGAACCUAACCUUAAAUAAAGGACGUGAAUAUAAAGUCAUUUCAAGCUCCUUAGCUCCAGUUUUGUUUCCUUCUAAAUCAUUUACAAAUGAUACUUUUAUACAGGAAAUAUGAUAAUGUUACACACAUGCUUUUAGGAAAUCUAGACACUCACGGCCUGAAGAUUUUUUAGUCAUAGUUUUACUUAUUCAGAUAAUAUUUAACAGACAGUUACUUUCUGUGCAGAGCACUAUGCUAUAUACACCUAUAUACAUAUGGCUAAGGAAAUUGCCUCUGUUCUUAGUGAUAUGACAAUUUAGGAGGGGAAAUAUGCACAGAUAACACAAUACAAGUGAGCAUCAGAUGAUGGGUAGAAGGAGCUAUCACUAUUAAGAGAAUGGAGAGAGAGUACUUCUAGCUAGUGGGCUCAAGAGAGCUUCAUGAAAUAGGUGACUUCUGAACUGGGCCUUCCAAGAUUUCUUAGUGCAGACAUGGGUAGAGAUAUUUCAUGCCACGAAAAAUCACAUUUCCAAAAGACAUGUCAACGUGAUCAAGUAGUGAGCAGGUAACUGCAAAUAGACCUCUUUUAUUAGUCUAGAGUACAUGUGAAACAAAUGGUAGGAGGCAAGACUGGUCUUGUGGGUUAAGGAUCAGAUUGUAAGCAAUGUUAAUACUGCAUGAAGGAAUUUUAGUCUUAUUAUACUGUCACUGGAGAAUCAGUUUUUUUGUCUGGGCAGUGGGUCGUGAUACUGUUAACAGGUGCUUUAGAGAAAGAUUGGGUAUAGCGAGAACAAAACACAUGAACAUUACAAUAAUAUAAUUGUGGUCUAUUAGUAAAGACCUGAGUUUGGAUGAUGAUGUUGAAGGAAUUAAAAAGAUAAUCUAAACAUGUUAGUGGAGGGAGAAAGAUUGAAAAGAUGCCUACAUCCAGGGACCAGUAAAUGAGGGCAUAGGACACUAAAGAGUAUAGGCUGGAAGGAUUAGAAGAAGCAUGAUCAGCUUACUGAGGUCAACAUGGGUUUAUCUUAUAUUGGAUGUUGCAACCUCAUCAUUUAUCACAGUGUGAGGCACACAAUAGGCCCUCAAUUUAUGCUUCUUAAGUAACUAAGUGUUUGCUUGGUAAAUGACUUCAUAGAAUAAAUUUCAGGGUGGGUAAAGAAAGUGAUCUUUGUUGCCCUGGAGUUGACUUUAUUGGUAAAGGAUAUAUCCAUUGGCAGUAGUUAUAUAAUUUAAAACAAUGGCGUGGCUUUAGAUCUAACAGUAUGUCAGCUUACUUUUCCUUUUAAGAAGUAGUAUAAAGACAAUCCUGCACCCUGUGGAAAGAAAACCACAUUCACAGAAAGAUAGACAAAAUGAAAAGGCAGAAGACUAUGUACCAGAUGAAGGAACAAGAUAAAACCCCAGAAAAACAAUUAAAUGAAGUGGAGAUAGGCAACCUUCCAGAAAAAGAAUUCAGAAUAAUGAUAGUGAAGAUGAUCCAGGACCUUGGAAAAAGAAUGGAGGCAAAGAUUGAGAAGAUGCAAGAAAUGUUUAACAAAGACCUAGAAGAAUUAAAGAACAAACAAACAGAGAUGAGCAAUACAAUAACUGAAAUGAAAAAUACACUACAAGGAAUCAAUAGCGGAAUAACUGAGGCAAGAACAGAUAACUGACCUAGAAGACAGAGCGGUGGAAUUCACUGCCAAGGAACACAAUAAAGAAAAAAGAAUGAAAAGAAUUGAAGAUGGCCUAAGAGACCUCUGGAACAACAUUAAACACACCAACAAUCGCAUUAUAGGGGUCACAGAAGGAGAAGACAGAGAAAGGAUCUGAGAAAAUAUUUGAAGAGAUUAUACUCGAAAACUUCCCUAACAUGGGAAAGGAAAUAGCCACCGAAGUCCAGGAAGCACAGAGAGUCCCAGGCAGCAUAAACCCAAGGAGAAACAGGUUGAGACACACAGGAAUCAAACUGACAAAAAUUAAAGACAAAGAAAAAUUAUUAAAAGCAACAAGGGGAAAACAACAAAUAACAUACAAGAGAACUCCCAUAAGGUUAACAGCUGAUUUCUCAGCAGAAACUCUACAAGCCAGAAGGGAGUGGCAUGAUAUACUUAAAGUGAUGAAAGGGAAGAACCUACAACCAAGAUUACUCUACCGGGCAAGGAUCUCAUUCAGAUUUGAUGGAGAAAUCAAAAGCUUUACAGACUAGCAAAAGGUAAGAGGAUUCAGCACCACCAAACCAGCUCUACAACAAAUGCUAAAGGAACUUCUGUAAGUGGGAAACACAAGAGAAAAAAAUGACCUACAAAAACAAACCCAAAACAAUUAAUAAAAUUGUCAUAGGAACAUACAUAUUGAUAAUUACCUUAAACGUGAAUGGAUGAAAUGCUCCAACCAAAAGACACAGGCUUCCUGAAUGGAUACAAAAACAAGACACAUAUAUAUGCUGUCUACAAGAGACCCACUUCAGACCUAGGGACACAUACAGACUGAAAGUGAGGGGAUGGAAAAAGAUAUUCCAUGCAAAUGGAAAUCAAAAGCUGGAGUAGCAAUAGUCAUAUCAGAUAAAAUAGACUUUAACAUAAAGAAUGUUACAAGAGACAAGGAAGGACACUACAUAAUGAUCAAGGGAUCAAUCCAAGAAGAAGAUAUAACAAUUAUAAAUAUAUAUGCACCCAACAUAGGAGCACGUCAAUACAUAAGGAAACUGCUAACAGCUAUAAAAGAGGAAAUUGACAGUAACACAAUAAUAGUGGGGAACUUUAACACCUCACUUACACCAAUGGACAGAUCAGCCAACAUGAAAAAAAAUAAGACACAGAAGCUUUAAAUGACACAAUAGACCAGAUAGAUUUAAUUGAUAUUUAUAGGACAUUCCAUCCAAAAACAGCAGAUUACACUUUCUUCUCAAGUGCACACAAAACAUUCUCCAGGAUAGAUCACAUCUUGGGUCACAAAUCAAACCUCAUUAAAUUUAAGAAAAUUGAAAUCAUAUCAAGCAUCUUUUCUGACCACAACGCUGUGAGAUUAGAAAUGAGUUACAGGGAAAAAAACGUAAAAAAACACAAACACAUGGAGGUUAAACAGUACGUUACUAAAUAACCAAGAUAUCACUGAAGAAAUCAAAGAGGAAAUCAAAAAAUACCUGGGACAAAUGACAAUGAGAACACAAUGAUCUAAAACCUAUGGGAUGCAGCAAAAGCAAUUCUAAGAGGGAAGGUUAUAGCUAUACAAGCCUACCUCAAGAAACAAGAAAAAUCUCAAAUAAACUAAUUUUACACCUAAAGGAACUAGAGAAAGAAGAACAAACAAAACCCAAAGUUAGCAGAAGGAAAGAAAACAUAAAGAUUAGAGCAGAAAUAAAUGAAAUAGAAACAAAGAAAACAAUAGCAAAGACCAAUAAAACUAAAAGCUGGUUCUUUGAGAAGAUAAACAGAAUUGAUAAACCAUUAGCCAGACUCAUCAAGAAAAAGAGGGAGAAGACUCAAAUCAAUAAAAUUAGAAAUGAAACAGAAGUUACAAAAGACACUGCAGAAAUACAAAGCAUCCUAAGAGACUACUACAAGCAACUCUAUGCCAAUAAACUGGACAACCUGGAAGAAAUGGACAAAUUCUUAGAGAGGUAUAACCUUCCAAGACUGAACUGGGAAGAAAUAGAAAAUAUGAACAGACCAAUCACAAGUGAUUAAAUUGAAACUGUGAUUAAAAAUCUUCCAACAAACAAAAGUCCAGGACCAGAUGGCUUCACAGGUGAAUUCUAUAAAACAUUUAGAGAAGAGCUAACACACUCAUCCUUCUCAAACUCUUCCAAAAAAUUGCAGAGGAAGGAACACUCCCAAACUCAUUCUACGAGGCCACCAUCACCCUGAUACCAAAACCAGACAAAGAUACUACAAAAAAAGAAAA